rnacentral:rRNA from 1 species
UACGAAGGACCCGAGCGUUAUCCGGAUUCAUUGGGUUUAAAGGGUGCGUAGGCGGAUUGAUAAGUCAGUGGUGAAAUCCUGCAGCUUAACUGCAGAACUGCCAUUGAUACUGUCGAUCUUGAGUACACUUGAAGUGGGCGGAAUGUGUCAUGUAGCGGUGAAAUGCUUAGAUAUGACACAGAACACCGAUUGCGAAGGCAGCUCACUAAAUUGUAACUGACGCUGAGGCACGAAAGCGUGGGGAUCAAACAGG